UAAAAAAUUUGGCGGUAUUUUAGUCUAUUCAGAGGAACUUGUUCUGUAAUCGAUAAUCCACGAUGGACCUUACUUAAAUUUGUUAUCAGUUUAUAUACCGUUGUUAUUAAAAUAUUUUAUUAGAAUGUUAAUUUUUAUAAUUUUAAAAAAGAAAAUAUAUCAGAUCAAGGUGUAGCUAAUAUUUAAGUGGAAAUGAGUUACAAUAAAAUUAUUUAAACGAAUAUAAAUUUGAAAUAUUUAUUGAAGGUGGAUUUGAAAGUAAAAUUAUAAAGAUAAAUAAUUUGAUUAAAGCUCUAAAAUAUGUACAUAUCGCCCGUCACUCUUGUUAUUAAAAUAAGAUAAGUCGUAACAUAGUAGAUGUACUGGAAAGUGUAUCUAGAAUGCAGUUUAAAGCUUAUUAAGUAAAGUAUUUCAUUUACAUUGAAAAGAUUUUUGUGCAAAUCAAUAUAAAUUGAUUAAAUUUUAUUUAUUAAUUUUUUAAAAUUAUAAAUUAAGUUAUUAAAAAUAAUUAUAAAUUUAAUUGUUUUAGUAUUUAAUAAAGAAAAAAUAAUAUUAAUGAUAGUUUAAUAGUAUUGUAAAAGAAAAUUGAAAUAAAUUGAAAAAUUUUUAUUAUA
rnacentral:rRNA from 1 species